rnacentral:lncRNA from 1 species
UAGUCCGACCAGAAUCACCGGAGAAGAUGACCGACCUUUGGACUCCGGUGAUGCGCUGGAAGUGUUCAGAGCCAUUGAUCUGUUUUAAAUUAUUUUAAUCUCACGCGUUGGUUUUGAUUACCAUUCCUGUAGCGCAUUGACUUAAGUCCACGGUGGAAAGCGCGCUGAGGACCACUUGAUCUACCACCUCAAUUAAUGAGGGAGAUCAAGUGGUCCACGUUUUUUUGUUAUUUUCUGAUUUUCUUUUAUUCCUUUUAUUUUUUUAAUUCAUAUUAAUUUUAAU